AAACCAAUUACCUUUCAUUAAUUAAUUACAUCAAUAUAUAAAUGUGUGUAAUAAAUCAAUCGAGAGUCAAAACUUUAAGAAAGGGAACAGAGAUUUCAAUCCAUUUCUUCUUCAAUCAUGGAUUAGUGGUUGAAAAGUGGCUAGAGGGGUUUCUGUGGUACCGAUGACCAUUGUGAAUGUUCUUACAAGCAUUAGCUACAAUGACUUUUCCAAACACAUACUACAAACGAAAUAUACGGUUACAAGCUCUAACUCUAGCAAGACAACUUUUUGGUAUGCAUAUCUAAACAAGAAGAAUAUGGGUUUAUGCCCCACUCCAUCUGAAAUUUCAAUAGUUUGUCUUCGCGAGCAGGAUGCCAUUGGUUAUGAAAAUAAAUAUUUUAGUAACAUAUAUAAGCAAUUGCAUCAAGUGUCAAACAGUGACGACGUUAACAUAUCAAGGCUGGAGACCCUUCGAAAACAUACCCGGAUCCGUUUGAGCAGAACAAAAAAGGGUUACUGAAUGGCCCAGAAAACGUACUAGAAGGCACCAAACAGGUCAAAGAUGAUUCCGAAACAUUAACAUAUUUAUCAAAGUGUCACAUUGUAGAAAAUAGUAAAAUCAUUCGAAACGUUAUCACAAACGCAUUUUAGAAACAAGUUAAUAACAAUAACAUGGUGAUCGUUAUUACUUAUUAGGCAAGAUAUUCUUAAAAUUAAA